AACUUUUAGCAAUGGAUCACUCGGCUAGCAGGUCGAUGAAGAACGCAGCUAGCUGCGUUAAACGGUGUGAAUUGCAGGACACGCCGAGCACUUGAUUUUCGAACGCACAUUGCGGCUACGGGUUCGUCCCGUAGCCUCGUCUGUCUGAGGGUCGGAUAACUUAUUGACUGUAAUACAGGCCCGCUCGUGGGGACUCCUCCCUUACGGGGAGAGAGACCCCUCGCCGGGUUGUAAGUCUGCGCUCGUCCCCUUGCGGCGGCGGUCCGAGACGUCUUGUCAGCACUUCUUGUUGCGCGCACUCGACGUCACACGGCACCGCCGCGCCGCACCGGGCGCGCCCGACCUGGGCGGCUGCCUCGCGGCAGCUGCCCCACAAAGUACCUCACUUUGUCGACCUCAGAUCAGGCGAGAUUACCCGCUGAACUUAAGCAUAUCAAUAAGCGGAGGCU
rnacentral:misc_RNA from 1 species